ACCAAUUCGUCUCCCUCCCUUUCUCCGCUCCGGGUUAUUCUGCUACAAGACUCGACUUCAGCCAUCCCGUCGAUCCUGCGCUCGCAUCUCCCGUACACCGUAGGAAAUAAAGUUUAUAACUCCGUCCCCGUGAGCUCGCGCAGUGAGAUAUUGUCAGCUUUUCAUGCCAAUUUCGAAGAUCUGUCGAGGAGAGCGGCCGCGAUGUCGAAGCGGGGUUUCUUGGACGGCGUCAGACUCAGCGGCUGCGACCUCGGGCCAUGGAGGCCGCCGCCACCUGAUGAUCUCUUUGCCUGGCAGCGCCAUCAGCCCGCACAGGAAGUCCUUGCCGGCGGCGAUGGCAUUGAACGGCACGUUCGCCGAGAGGUACGUCGUGACCUCGCCGGAGGGGAGCGAGACGCAUCGGAGCUUCGUGCAGCCGCCGCCACCAUCGGUGGCUUUGUCGAGGACGAGGGUGCACACGAUGGUGGAGUUGGAGGUGUGGGUGAUGGUCACCGUCGAGAACUGCCGCGCCAGCUUGGAGGGCUCGGUGGCGGAGGCGGCACCAGAGCCGAGGAAGACGGAGAGGAGGAAGAGAAGAGUGCUGUGUCGUAAGUGAAAGAAAGGAUGGGGAACAAGUCAAAGGGGAAGAAGGGGGAGAAAAGGAAAUAAUGGAAAUGACAGGGGGUUGAGUAGAUAAAUUGGAUGCCUAACAGGUGGGCCUGGCCGUAAGAAAAACUGCCGUCACAAUAUGACUGAAAAAGUGUGAUUUUUUGGACAAAUCUCUACUAAUUAUAAAAACACCAACAUUUUCUUUUUCUAAAACAACCCCACAAAACUCAUCUCACGACUACUCCGUACGCAUCAAACCGAUUCUGCUAAUUCUUAACCGGGGUACGUCUAGCGAUUAACUUCCGUCCGACGUACUGUGCCUUCCCCGAUCCUCGCGUACGCUCGACUCCGCGCCCGACGCCCGCCGCCCCACGCCGCCGCUCUCGCACGACCUCCGUCGACCCCUGCCGCCCUCGCGCGCCCGCCCCCGCAGCCCCGUUCCGCCCACGCCGCCGCCGGCUCCUCAGGCAUCGCCGCUGCCGCGAGUAGGAUGCUACAACCUGAACACUUUGGGAGAAACAACAAUGUCAUUCGAGGGAAGUUUAAGCUUGGGAGAAAGAUUGGGAGUGGCUCAUUUGGGGAGCUAUACCAUGGGAGGAAGUUUGAUUUUUGGUUCCAGGUUUUAGUUGGGAGAAGCAACUCACAGUAGACUAAAUGCAACAGAGUUGUACUGCUUUUUGCUGGCCAACCCUUCCAUUCUGAUCCUUCGUGUAUUUUAGAUGAAAAGGUUCAGAUUUAGAUGAAAAGGAGAAAGAGGCACCUGAGAUGGGCACUAGGGUGUCAUGGGUGGAAUGUGCUACUGAGACCUUGCCUAAGGUAAAUUGUAUAUGAAACUAUUGUAUUUUCUUCUACUACUGUGCCACAAUAGGAUGUAUGGGUCUUCUACUACUGUGCCACAAUAGGAUGUAUGGCCUAAUAUGUAAGCUUUACACAUGUAUGGCCAGUUGGCCACACAGAGGACUUUUCUAAGUGAUAUGUCCGGCCUUCUGUUAGCUAUGUCAUAUGGUCUAUUUACUGGUUAACUGUUGCACUUUAUUCUUCAGUUUAAAGUCGAGAGUUCUCGACUCAAUGUCCAACUGUUUCAACAUCAUUACAGUGCUGAUGCUCAAAAAGUCUGCUAGAGGGAAGAAUCAGAAAAAUGUUGUGCACAUACGAACUACAAUGCAUUGGGUGGGAAUUAAAGGAUUCUCAGUAAUACGCUUUGCAAGAUUCAUUGAUCAUCCGGUAGAUUUUACUAUAUAUUGUUCUUAAAUGUUAAACAUUAUUGACUGCUUCAAAAAUCAUAAUUACCUUCUGUAGUUGUUCAGAUAUGCUAUCCUGUGGUUCCAGAGUACUGUCGCAUGAAUGACUGGCCUGCUGUGAUGAUUUAUAAGUAUAAUUAGUAAUGUCUCAACGCUCAAACUGUUACCUGCUAUAUUUCUCACUUGAAUUGUUUGAAGAUGAUUUACUAUAUUGCUUUUUUCUAUGAAUGCAAUUCAUGGUUACCUGCAAGAUCUAUUGUCAUGGAGUGUUUGCUGUCAAGAGGAAAUGGAAAUCCAAGUGGAGAAAUCAUGGUUUUAGAUAGAUUCUGCCUGGUAAGAUCUUGGUUUUGCAUUAUAGCAAAUUUGGUGGUUUUGGCGAGUCAGCAUGGAAGAGAUAAUUUUUGUAGCAGAUCUGGAUGUGUUAAUCUCCAAUGUGCUCAAUAUUUUUUGCAUUAUCUUCCUGAAACCAUCACAUACAUCUUACCAAUCCAGUGAGAGUAUAUGUUGCCUUUUUGUAUAGCUUAAAGUAGAUCUGUUGGCUGAAAUAAUCAUGUAUGUCUCCGCCAAAUUAUAUAUUCUGGACAGCUCCAAAUUUUUUUACCAGUUCUCAAAUUAUUGUUCA